AACGAACGACUCGAACCCGAGGACUCGAGAAAUGAACUAAUCAAUUCUCUUUCCGGCUCAGGCUGCAUAGGUUAACAUUACGGGGCUGUCACGUGAUGAACGAACGACUCAAACCCGAGGACUCGAGAGAUGAACUAAUCAAUUCUCUUUCCGGCUCAGACUGCAUAGGUUAACAUUACGGGGAUGUCACGUGAUGAACGAACGACUCAAACCCGAGGACUCGAGAGAUGAACUAAUCAAUUCUCUUUCCGGCUCAGGCUGCAUAGGUUAACAUUACGGGGAUGUCACGUGAUGAACGAACGACUCAAACCCGAGGACUCGAGAGAUGAACUAAUCAAUUCUCUUUCCGGCUCAGGCUGCAUAGGUUAACAUUACGGGGAUGUCACGUGAUGAACGAACGACUCAAACCCGAGGACUCGAGAGAUGAACUAAUCAAUUCUCUUUCCGGCUCAGGCUGCAUAGGUUAACAUUACGGGGAUGUCACGUGAUGAACGAACGACUCAAACCCGAGGACUCGAGAAAUGAACUAAUCAAUUCUCUUUCCGGCUCAGGCUGCAUAGGUUAACAUUACGGGGAUGUCACGUGAUGAACGAACGACUCAAACCCGAGGACUCGAGAAAUGAACUAAUCAAUUCUCUUUCCGGCUCAGACUGCAUAGGUUAACAUUACGGGGAUGUCACGUGAUGAACGAACGACUCAAACCCGAGGACUCAAGAGAUGAACUAAUCAAUUCUCU